rnacentral:rRNA from 1 species
UACGUAGGAUGCGAGCGUUGUCCGGAUUUAUUGGGCGUAAAGCGAACGUAGGCGGUCAUUUAAGUCUGGUCUUAAAGACUGGGGCUCAACCCCAGGAGUGGACUGGAUACUGGAUGACUAGAGGAUGUUAGGGGAAAGUGGAAUUCCCAGUGUAGCGGUGAAAUGCGUAGAUAUUGAGAGGAACACCAGUGGCGAAAGCGGCUUUCUGGGACAUUCCUGACGCUGAGGUUCGAAAGCUCGGGGAGCAAACAGG